rnacentral:rRNA from 1 species
UACGUAGGUGGCAAGCGUUGUCCGGAUUUAUUGGGCGUAAAGCGAGCGCAGGCGGUUUCUUAAGUCUGAUGUGAAAGCCCCCGGCUUAACCGGGGAGGGUCAUUGGAAACUGAGGAACUUGAGUGCAGAAGAGGAGAGUGGAAUUCCAUGUGUAGCGGUGAAAUGCGUAGAUAUAUGGAGGAACACCAGUGGCGAAGGCGACUCUCUGGUCUGUAACUGACGCUGAGGCUCGAAAGCGUGGGGAGCAAACAGGAUUAGAUACCCUGGUAGUCCACGCCGUAAACGAUGAGUGCUAAGUGUUGGAGGGUUUCCGCCCUUCAGUGCUGCAGCUAACGCAUUAAGCACUCCGCCUGGGGAGUACGGUCGCAAGACUGAA